rnacentral:rRNA from 1 species
UACGUAGGGACCAGGCGUUGUUCGGAUUUACUGGGCGUAAAGGGCGCGUAGGCGGCAAUUCAAGUCAGUUGUGAAAUCUCCGAGCUUAACUCGGAACGGUCAACUGAUACUGUUUUGCUAGAGUACAGAAGGGGCAAUCGGAAUUCUUGGUGUAGCGGUGAAAUGCGUAGAUAUCAAGAGGAACACCUGAGGUGAAGACGGGUUGCUGGGCUGAUACUGACGCUGAGGCGCGAAAGCUAGGGUAGCAAACGGG